rnacentral:rRNA from 1 species
GGUAGCCUACGGAGGGCAGCAGUGGGGAAUAUUGCACAAUGGGGGGAACCCUGAUGCAGCGAUGCCGCGUGAGCGAAGAAGUAUUUCGGUAUGUAAAGCUCUAUCAGCAGGGAAGAAAAUGACGGUACCUGACUAAGAAGCCCCGGCUAACUACGUGCCAGCAGCCGCGGUAAUACGUAGGAGGCAAGCGUUAUCCGGAUUUACUGGGUGUAAAGGGAGCGCGGGCGGCGCGGUAAGUCUGAUGUGAAAGCCCGGGGCUCAACCCCGGGACUGCAUUGGAAACUGUAGUGCUGGAGUGUCGGAGG